AUGCUGGAAUUGGAAGUUAGAAUACAAUUAUUAAAGUUCCACAAGUUUGGGAGGAGUUCCCAGUAUACUGAAAGGCAGGAUUAGAAAUGAGAAUAGCCUUUACAAAUUCAAUAAAUAGUCUGAAAAAAUAAGAUACAAUUUAGUAAGGAAAACCGCAAACGUUUACAUAUAAAUAUUUCAGCCAUGAAGGUUAUACAGAAAAUUAUGUGAGUCUCAAUGUGUUCAUAUCAGGGCAUUCAUCCUGGGAGUUGUGCCAUUAAUAUUGUACUAGCAAAGGUCAGAGUGGGUUACAAAAGGUGGUUGAUUAGGUUAUGAGACGUAAUGCUGUGGAUAAUUUUUUGCUAUUUGGUCCACAGCAAGUGGAACUGCUCAGCAGUGCAGAUCUGAAGAGUCGCACUUGGAAUCGCUGCUGACAGCUCGAGAAAUCCCAGGUGAUGAAGAAUGAAUCAGCACCAACAGCUGACUGUUCAUUCUCUGCUAAACAAACUGUCGAAAAAGCAAAGCUUGGCUUAGAAGUACAAGAAUUAAUGAGGCGGCAUCAGGAACAGAAGCAAUGAUGGUUAAUGCACCACCUGGGCAUAUUCACGUCCACUGAUACCGGUGGAUAUGGUGAUACUGUCAGCAAUGGAGAGCAGGAGGAGUUCAAGCCAGGAAAGUAAGAGUGACCUGGCUCAGCUUCUGAGUUUGUUUUGGAGGUGGAUGAGUAGCAGAGUUCUCUCUCUGCUGAGUGACUCUGAUCUGUUCCUUGUCAACUAAACAAGCCGAGGCAGAAGAAAACCAGAGCAACUCACCACCUCCAAAUGGAGCGUGGGUGCCAGGUGUGCUCAGCUCUUCACUGCAGAGUGACUCUGUCAGCCCUAAACCUGCACCUACUGACAGCUGCUAUUGCUGCACGUGGGGAAGAGGACCGAAGAAAAAGAUAUUCACAACAACGCAGGUGCAGAAACAAAUUAAACUCCUUGUCUUACUACAAAAAUUGCACUAAACCUUUCUUGAUACAACGAGGACCGUAAGGGCUGAUGUCUGAGAGGGCGACUGUCCCGUCCCGCACCGCCAGCCACACAGCAAAGAAGAUUCAGCUGCGCCAACAUUUCACCAACCCAUCAAAUCUAAAAGCACAAGGACAGCAGGAAAGAAGUCUGAAGUAAAAUAAAGCUUUGCAAUAAUAAAGCAAAAAUAAAGCCCAGAGGGCUACAGUGGAGGUGAGGAGAAUAUAGCCGGCCUUGAUGGAAUCUUGGUUAAACAAGAUUGGGUUGAACACGAUCAAAUGUGGGAGGAGAAGUGUGCUGGUGUGGUCUAGCAUUUUAUUGACAAAUUUGUGUACAACUAUCUUGAACAACAUGGGUAACUGUAAUAACUUAAACAUUACAAGUCCUAGCAAGAAAAUGCUACGAAACACUAGAAUUAAGACCUCUUUUUAAAAAUUUUGAUGAAGAAAACAGGAGUCAGCAAGACUCCUGGUAUUGCAGAGCAUUGAAGAACAGCAACUAAGACUUUUUGCCCUGCACAUUAGUAUUUUGAAUGAUGCCAAUUAUAGUUCUGUGCUUCCCACCAAAGCUCUGUAAGCAACAAGAUUUCUCUUUUCAAAUGUUGAUUUUUUUUCCUUAGAGAAUGUGUGCACAGGAUUAAACCAAGCUUGCCCUUCUACCUACUUUUUUGAGAAGAACCACCUUUCUAUUGGUGUGUUAGAGGAGUGAAGCUCCCUCCCCCUUCACAGAUGAUGGCACAGUUCAGAAGUUGUUUCCAAACAUGCUGAGUUUAAUUACAGGAUCAGUGAACACAGCAAUGUUUUCUUGGCAACAGGUAGAAAAGCUGGCAGUUAAUCCAUCUCUCUGGAGCAGUUUCUUGGCAUUUCAUCACUGCAUGAGAAACUUGGAUUUCAUUUCUUAUUUUGUUUUUCUGUUUCCCCGUUUCUUUAUCUUUUUUUUUUCCUCUUCUCCUAGUGGUACAUAAAAAUAACACACUGCAUUCUUCGUUAUGAAGAAAUAAUUAACUAAGUUGUUUUUUGAAUUUAUAAACAGUGGUGGGAUCUGGUAAGAAUUCUGUAUAUGCAUUAUCCAAUACUAAAUAAGGUGGCUAAAUGAAGAUCAUGACCAGCUUAGGAAACAGUUUACAGGGAUAAAUGUUGGGUGUUAAACUUACGCAAUAGCCGUUGCUGAACUUAUAUAUUGAGAUGUAUUACCUGCAUAAGAAACAAAUCAGUUAGGUGUACAGUGUACUAUUAAUAGUACCUCAGGCAAGAGGAAACCCUGAGGGUUGGAAGGCAGAGCACACCCGCCAAUAGGACCUGUGACUGAUGCUGGUGUUCCAUUGCUGUUGCUUUACUGACUCGCUGCCUGCCCCAGAAACAUCAUUUCUCAUCAGCACCCCAUAUACUAAGUUGAAUUUAAUACUCAAAAGGAGAUAUGAUAUAUUAAAAGCAGUAUUUUUCAGAGAAGAUAUAUUGUUUUCCUUGCCUUGUCCCUUUGAGAGACUGAACAAAACUCACAGCAGAAGUAACUGCUGGCUGCAGAGAGGGAUCUUGUGAGCUCUGCAUAUAAAUCUACACUUGACAGAAGAGCAUAAUUUUCCAAGUUUUACCAUUCAGAUUGCUGGUUUUCUGUGAUAUAGUCACACAUAGAGAACAUGAAGAAUUAAUUGACAAUCUGCAGUGGAUUAAUGAUGGAGCUAUGUGAGCAAAGAUGACUCAUAAAGAAUGAAAUGCCUCACAGUAAUUGAUGGAACUUUUAGGAAAUAAUCUACAUACCUGUCUAGCAUUCAAAAUUGCCUCACUUUUGCUAUAUUCUUACCUUUAUUUUUAUCAUAUUUGUUUUUAAUAUUGUCUGAAAACAGUUUGAUCAAUCAUUUGCUUUGCAUGAAAAAAGUUGUAAUAUUUGCUUAGAGGAUACAUUGUUAUUUUUAUGUUUGUACAGCAUAUGGAAGCCAUAAACAGACAGAUUCUUCUUAAGAGUAUGCCAUGCCAGCACUGCGGCCUUAGAGUUUUAGUUCAUUUUUCUGUUCUGUGCAAGUUCUCAUCCAAAUGAAAAAAACAACAUUGGAAAUAGCUUCUUUUUCUGUCUUCCUUUCCACUUAGGCUGUUGUACAACAAUAGUUGAGUAUGGCUCCCAUUAUGAAUUCCCAUCACGUACAUUAUCACGUUUGGUAACAGUUUCUCAUUCUGCAGUUCCCAAUGUAGGACUGGAAGGAGCACCCAGAUCAGAUAACUUUUUCAAAGCUUUCUGUCUUGGGAUGUAAUUUUGCCCCAGUGCUGAAGGAACACAUUGAAAUUCCUAUUCCAAAGCCUGCAAAGCAGAAAGUAGGGCAACACUUGAUUAGGUUAAGAUGUCAGGCUGUGUUUAGUGAAUGCAGAGCUUAGAGUUGGGUUAUUUGUUUGUUUAUGAGUUGUUGAGCAGGCUUUCUGCACGUCUGUGCGCUUCCAUUAAAACAAAUUAAAAUAUAUUGAGAAGUAAUGAGUUUCAGGACAAAAAGAGUAAACAAUUAAAUAGUACAGCCUCUGAAAAACCGUAAACUUCUCCUCUAAAUACUCAUCACAGCAGUAGCCUAAACUUUUUAAUUUAAAUUUUGCAUGAUGUUAUGAAGUGCUUAUAAGAGUUUGCAGUGUCAUUCACCAAGGCUGGAAAUAAUACAUUGAAGUUAUUUUCCAGAAGUGCUGCUUAUGUCUGUCUAGCUCUCACUGAAGUGGCUUGAGCUUAUUUCUAACAAAUAGUGUUCGAGGAAGCCUGUUACUGUACUAAACCCUUUGUUUUAAGACAGGCAUGACACAGAUCCUUGCCCAUCCAUGUCACAUCUUACUAUCACUACUACUCCUCAAUUACUACACCGGUGCCCCCGGCCCCACUCCUCCGGGGUUUCACACCGAACACAACACCGGCAGCUUCAGUGCCGCGCUCUGGGACUCGAACCCUGGAGCUCAAGCAAUCCGACAGACUCUGCCUCCUGACACAGCUGGGACAACAGGCGCACACCACCGCACCCGGCACAGCUGUGCUGCCAUCCAGAGACCUGGACAGGCUGGAGAGCUGGGCAGGGAAACAUUGAAUGAAAUAGAACAAGGGCAAGUGUAGAGUCUUGAAUCUGGGCAGGAACAACCCCAGGUUCCAGUGUAAGUUGGGGAAAGACCUAUUAGAGAGCAGUGUAGGGGAAAGGGACCUGGGGGUCCUGGGGACAGCAGGAUGACCAUGAGCCAGCACUGGGCCCUUGUGGCCAGGAAGCCAAUGGUACCUGGGGUGGGUUAGAAGGGGGUGGUCAGUAGGUCAGAGAGGUUCUCCUGCCCCUCUGCUCUGCCCUGGGGAGACCACACCUGGAAUAUUGUGUCCAGUUGUGGCCCCUCAGUUCCAGCAGGACAGGGAACUGCUGGAGAGAGUCCAGCGCAGCCACCAAGAUGCUGAAGGGAGUGGAGCAUCUCCCGUGUGAGGAAAGGCUGAGGGAGCUGGGGCUCUGGAGCUGGACAAGAGGAGACUGAGGGGUGACCUCAUUAAUGUUUACAGAUAUAUAAAGGGUGAGUAUCAGGAGGAUGGAGCCAGGCUCUUCUUGGUGACAACCAGUGACAGGACAAGGGGCAAUGGGUGCAAACUGGAACACAGGAGGUUCCACUUAAAGAUGAGAAGAAACUUGUUCCCGGUGAGGGUGGCAGAGCCUGUCCCAGGCUGCCCAGGGGGGUUGUGGAGUCUCCUUCUGUGCAGACAUUCCAACCCGCCUGGACACCUUCCUGUGUAACCUCAUCUGGGUGUUCCUGCUCCAUGGGGGGAUUGCACUGGAUGAGCUUUCCAGGGCCCUUCCAACCCCUGACACUCUGGGAUUCUGUGAUUCUGUGAAAAUAUUAAAGCUGCAUCUUGGAUUUUCUCUUCUCAUCUUGUUCUUCUUUUCCUCUCCACUGCAUUCUUAUACUACAGUUUAUGUAGUGAUAAAUACGAGAGUAACGCCUGGCAAUUUUGACUCAUUUCUGAUGAUAAAUAUGAGAGUAACCACUAGUGAUUUUGACUCACUUCUGAUUUCCCUGCAGGGCUUUCUGCUUUUCUUUUCAGGCUUAAUCAUUGCUAUUGUAAAAAUAUUUGGUCUCUUCACAGAAGUUCCCAAGUGAUUUUGAAUAUGACUUGGGUGUGUCCUGUUAUUCAUACAUAUAUAGUGAUCCCAAAUAUACACAUUGAAUAAUUAACUCAUAGGUAAGUACAAACCUCCUUAUUUUUUCCAACUAUUAAAUAUAGUUUUAUCUUGUCAUACUGUGCCACAGUUAAAAUGCUGUUUGAGGAAUUUAUCUUUAUUUAUAUGUGCUAAUCCUGGUAAAAGAUACAAAAAAUAUUGCUGGUAGCUAAACUGAAUAGGAUUUGUUCUAUUUUUAUUGGAUUUAGCAUCAAAAUUUGGGGCUUCUUUCCUAAAGUGCCCAGGAUCUUCAUGUUUCCAGAUCUGAAGUACUUAGUAGAGUCCAGUCUCAUCUCAGCAGUUUUCUGGGAAUAUUCUGUUUCUACUUGCAAGGGUUAAGAAAUAGUUGUGGGGGGUUUUGUUAGGGUCUUCAUUUUAUUUAUUUCUAACAGAGCACUUAUUUAAUCACUUGGCAUUUACUGUGCCUUCUCAGUAGACUGUAGGAUUCUUUUGUAGGGGUUAUAUUUGCAGGGUAGAGGCUUACUGUUGCUCUUGUUAUCUCACAAUUUUCUGGUAUUAAAUGUGAGAAAAAAAGCUUUUCCUGAAGUGGAGUCAUGGGCAUUUAUAGGUAACUUUUGAGCCAUGUAGUGUUGAAAGCAACGGAAUUUGUUUCCUAUUUUUCACAUCUAUUUUUCAGCCUGGUUUAUCUUUUUCAUAUUUUGUUUUUUUUUUAACUGAGGUGUAUUAUUGCCAUUUACAAUAUCAACCCGCAUCAGAGUAAGAAAUAGAAGACAGAAAGGAAAAGUAAGAACAAACAACUUAUAGUCUUAAUAAUUCUUAACUGGCUACUGCUUUUGAUACUUUAAACAUGGUGAUAAUGAACGUGGAAAGCUCUGGAAGCCUUAGUAAGUUAGCCUGAUCAUCUGAAGAAUGCCAGUACUUAUUAGGGAAAGUUCGUGAUUCAUACUCAAGGAUUAAGCCAAGAGAAUCUUGUGACCUAAGCAGCCUGGCUCUCCAGUGGUAAAAAUGGGAUUUUCUUAUCUUCAGAAAAAUAAUAAUUGAGACAGAGAGCAGGGAUGGAAGCAGACAGCAUACAUUUGAUUUGAGGGCCAGUAAUACUUGGUGCAUAGGGAAAUCGCUGUUGGGCAAAUUGUUGGUGCCGCGAUAGAAAUGUAAAGUUAAACUGCACUAUACAAAGUUUUCCGCAGAGAUGAAUCAGAGCACGGCCGAGAAACAGCAAAGAUGAGAACAGUAACGCGAAAUGUUGGGCCUGUUGUCUUCAAUAUGCGGAUUAUCCUUCAGAAAUGUUUAGUCAUUUGCCUGAUAUUCAGGAAACUGCUCUUCCCUGGGUAUUAAUCACUUAAAACCAAGCACAUGAACAUGUGUCACAUUAUGGUAGGUGGUCAGUGCUGAAAGUCUGGAUGCAAGAUUUGGCGUGAUGACAUGAAAUCUAAUCCUGUUCCUAACAGCAAACAUUGACUUGACAGAAUCAGUCAGCUUCAAUACUUCAACUUCUCCAUUUCUACAGCUGGGAUAAUAAUUAACUUUUGAUUUAUUUGUUUAGAAUCUUGAAAAAAAAGGCCUUUGAAAUACGAACAAUAAAGGAUACAAUGUGCAAGGGAGCAUUGUGAACCAACUCCCUAAGAAAGUCACAUAAACACAUACUUAUCCUUUUGCAGAGCUAUGUGUAAAUAUACAUUUAGAUGCCUUGCCACCUCUAGCCUUCUCUCUUCCUUCUAUUUCAGUGCUCUAUCUUAUUUCACAAAGUGGAAAGGAAAAUGAAAAUAAGAUAGAAAAGCUCUAACCAUCAUCACUUUUUAAUUGACCCGCAUCCACAAGCCUGAGAAAAGCAAAACACUUCCGGUUCAGUGGAAGUUCAGCCUUAUUAGAUUGCUUUCGUUGCCUUCAAAGAACGGAUGAAUAUCAGCAAGCAAACAUGUAAUCAUUGUAUAAAAUCAGUGAUCCUGUUGGUUUCUUUAGAAACCCUGACACUGAUGCCGUGGAAAUCUCAGGCGUGCACUGAGAGGAGGUUCAGCUGCAGCUUUGGUGGGAGCUGCGAAGGUACCAGCAAACUCCCCCUGUGCCUCCUGGCUUUUUAUUGUACAAAUCAAUUGUGAGGGGGUGAUGCUGUAAGGGACACAUGCAGCCACACAACUCAUUUUAAUGACAGUCUACCAGUGCUUUGCUGCAAGUUCUGUGGCGGAAAUCAUAUAUUCAAAGCUUCUUGCAAGGAGCUCAUUUGUAGGGAAAAAUUUACCAUCAUUACGCUCCUGUGCCCAGUUGCAACAUCUCAAAUUCACAUUUAUUCAUACCUUCCUUUGCGCUCCUGUUGAGUUGCAGUUGAAAUAAAACAAAUUAUACGAUGAAAAAGUAUAAAGCAUAGCAGUGCAUAAACCACAUUCCAUUGGUGCUGCCAGAAUCUUUGCUCAAAUGACAAGGGUCAUUUAAAAUCUUCUGCAAAGCAUUUAUUGCGUUUAAAUUUCAGUUUGCUUCUCUGGUGUUUGGAGUAAAAGCAGACAAAUUGCAUUAAGGAAGUCAAUUCCUGUGUAAUAAUACUUUAGACAAUACAAUUUAUAUGUAAGAAUACUUUAGCUUCAGAGAUUGCAGUCUAAGAUUUUUGUUACAUUUCAGGAGUGCACCAACCCUUGGCAAGAGGUAGAACUAGAGCUUUAGAGACAUCUUGAACGCUCCUUUUGUCCCUCUUAGUGAAAAAAGAUGGAAAAAUGCUCUCUCAGGACAGCAGGAGUUUCCUGUAAUACAAACCUGCAAUGACAGAAUUGCUGGUGGACAUGGAAACCCUGUAGAGCGGCCCUUGCCCAGCAGUGCUGUCCUUAUUUUUACAAAUAUCGCCACCUUUAUUGGCAGUCAGGAAUUUUCAUUUCUUCUCAUACAAUUCCAAAAAACUGACAAGUGAGGUUUAGGAUAGCAACAGAUUUCUUUCUCCUUUGUGUUUAUAGUGAACACUUUUCUAUAUACCACAUUGUUACUGUAUUGUCAAAGGGAAGACUUUUACAAGCAGAAAGGACAAUUGGAUCCCAAACUACAUGGAAAUCGUCCUGACUAACCUGCUUGGUCCACGUGCGCCUGGGACACAGCCAGAGUCUGGUUAACAGGUUUGCUAAAUGUUAUUUACUACAUUUAACACAUGGCAAAAAAACCCUACAACUUUAUAUUAUGAACAUAAAAGACCUUUUAUUCUACAGCCUGUUUCAUCUGCCAGGACAAGACAACCUAUCAUGGCAAAAAUGAGGACACAAAGCUAUACCAUAUUUGUAGAUAAAUGCCAUUAGGGAGCUAUCAACAAUUUAAGUAAGUUUAAAAUGAUAGUUCCUGCUGUUAAACUUGUCCUUCUUGCCAUGCAGCGAUUAUUUCAUGCAUAAAUUGAAACUUGGUGGGUCUUUCAAUCUUGUUUUUAAUGUACAUGUUUUAAAAGUAUUCUCCAGCUGAACUUGCGAUUCUGACUUCCCUGAUUCCCAUUCUGAAUUAAAACUUAACGUUUAGAGCUUCCCAUCUAUAAUUGUGCCUAAGUUGCUAGCUUUCAGACCAUGUUUUAUUAUUUACUGUUGUGAUAUUAUAUAAGAAAAUGCAUUUCAAGUGUUAUACUAAAAAGGCUCUUUUAUUUGAAAUUUCACUUCUAAUUCCUUUGACUUUGUUCUUGCAUGUGAGCUGCUGCUGUCUAUACAUUGGUCCAUCUCCAAUUUAUUCCUGCUAGAAAUAACACCAUUCUACUAAAUGUAAGCAAAGUAGAGGGUUUCUUUUAGGAAGAAUGCAAUAUUCUUAGUAUUAUAAAUUAUAUCUUUGUUAUUAUUACUUAAAGAUGCCUCAUUAAUUAGCAUUUACUCCUGCAAUCAAUACAAGAGAGGUCAUCUGUCCCAGAGAAAAAAUGGGCCCUAUAACAUUUGUGACAAUUAAAGAGACUUUCAGAAAUCUAUCCGGUACUAGAAAAAUAUUUUAUACUCAUUUUAUUCCUGUAUCAAAGUUAUGCCCAGUGUGAAUAUCUAAAACUCAUAUACAUAAUCCUGGCAUUUAUACGGACAGAAAAUAUCUCAGUUUUCAAUACAGAUUUGAAUAGCAGGCUAGAAUAUUUUACCCAUAAGAAAAGCAAUAAGCAAAACAAGGAUUAUUACAAAAUUUAGAUAUUUUAAUUCCCACAGAUACUGUAAACGUUAGGAGACUGUAUUUAUUUUCUGCUGAGGGAAAAGAAGAAGAUCCCCAAUUCUAGACAGCAUUGCAUCCAGGCAGUCUGAUUCCUGGAUGGAGUCCCACCAGUUUGAUUAUGUUCAAUGCAGAUUAGGGACCUACUUGCAGAAGCACAGUUUACACACUUAAAAUAAUGCAUUUAUAUCCCACAAAUAAAAGCUACUUCUCCAAUGUUAUACAAAUUUAGGAGUUGGAUUUUGGAGAGCAAGCCAAAGCCGCCUCUAUACUGAGGGCAAGACUUUGACUCUGUGUAGUGAAUGCCACCCAUGGAUAUGGAAAUAAUGAAUGUAGGUUUACAAAUUAGGAACGAUGCCAGAUCAGAUUAAACUAUUUUAAAUAUUAGAUGUAAAGAACAGAGCUAUAAAUUUAUUCACCAAAUUCUCUCGCCUAAAUCAGGAAAACAGUUUACUUGGCUUUAUUGAACAUAAAUCUCAUUUAAAUUUUUGCUGUGAUGUGGAUUGUCUGCAUCCAGAGUUUCUCACAGUGAAAGACCGACUGAGAGAUGAACUCUGCAGGACUGACAAGAGAGAGCUCUGUAAAAAUGCAAUAAAAGCCAAGUUUAUAACUUUUGCUAUAACUUCAAGGAGCGAUCAAGUUUAUCAAUGAUGAAGUUCCCCAAGCAAGGAAAACUGGUUUUCCUUCCAAAAAUAAAGUAAAAUGAAGGUAUGAUAGAAUAUUUAUGUAUAAAUGUAAUAUCUCUCAUUUAUUUUUUUUAGCAUUCAUGUGAAACACUCAAGAUUUAGUAUGUGAAGAUGUGUGAGGUUUCCCAUUACUGUAAUAUACCUGUGUGUGUUUUCAAUUAUCCAUAUACUGGCAGCACAAACAGCAUUUUAAUUUUAUUCCAUCUGAUUUUGCACGGCUCAAGUUUUGAAAUGUAUUUUCAGAUAUAUUGAGCACUGACAACUGCCUACUGAUGGAAGCUGCAACUGAAACUGCCCCAGGAGCCCAUUCUUUUUAUACCCCGGAGGGACCUGGGGGUACUAAUGGACAGGAAGCUCAACAUGAGCCAACAGUGUGCCCAGGUGGCCAAGAAGGCCAAUGGGAUCCUGUCCUGGAUCCAAACUAGCGUGGCCAGCAGGACAAGGGCAGUGAUCCUUCCCCUGUGCUCUGCAUUGGGGAGGCCACACCUGGAGUGUUGUGUUCAGUUCUGGGCCCCUCAGCUCAGGAAAGAGAUUGAAGUGCUGGAGCGGGUCCAGAGAAGAGCAACAAGACUGGGGAAGGGACUUGAACACAAGCCCUAUGGGGAGAGGCUGAGGGAGCUGGGCUUGUUUAGUCUGGAGAAGAGGAGGCUUAGAGCUGAGCUCAGCACUCUCUAGAACUACCUGAAGGGCAGUUCUAGCCAGGUGGGGAUUGGGCUCUUCUCCCAGGCAGUCAGCAAUAGGACAAGGGGCCAUGGGCUUCAACUCUGCCAGGGGAAACUGAGGCUGGAGAUGAGAAAGCAAUUCUGUGCAGAGAGAGUGGUCAGGCAUUGGAAUGGCUGCCCAGGGAGGUGCUGGACUCACCGGCCCUGGAGGUUUUUAAACUGAGAUUGGACAUGGCACUUAGUGCCAUGAUCUAGUGAAUGGACUGGAGUUGGACCAAGGGUUGGACUGGGUGAGCUCUGAGGGCUUUUCCAGCCCAGUCCAUUCUGUGAUUCUGUGAAAAGGCAGUAAAGACUUCGGAGUGAGGGGGAAGAGAGAAGUUCAGUGGAAGAUGCUUCUGGACAAAUAUUUAUUUUACAAACAUAGUAUUUUUCAAAUUAGUUUUAAAGUGCGAUAUACAUCCAUUGGUAUAAAAACUUAAAUAUUGGGAUAGUUAUCUUAGGACACUUUAAGCUCAAAAUUAUGAUGUCUUCAUAACAGCAAAUGGGCUGAACAACUCAGUUUUAUAAACACCUGGCAUAUAGAGACGAUUCUUAAAACAAUGCUGUAUUUUCCUGGAUUUUUAACUUACAGCAUUUAUUUUGACAACAGGUAAAAAUUUCAUGCAAGUAACUGAAACUCCAUCUUUAUCAACAUUUUAGCAAUGUGGCGUAUGGACCCUGUAAAUUCCAGCAGUGCCCUUAAAUUCCAGCUCCGAGCGGGUUUCAGUGUGCUCGGUGGAGAGCAGACAGUAACAAUCUGCUCAGGCUUUUCAAAAUGCCAACAGGAGUAUUCCAGAAGAAUGAGCACAAAGAAAUUGUCAGUGGUGGUACCUGGAAGGUCACCAUCCUCAUUCAUUCAGGUGUUCACCCAGCUAUCGGACUCGGAGAGACCCUCCUAGGACAAGCACCAGCCAUUUUUGCCAAACAGCAUUGACGGUGUCCAGCGUUCAACCACUGUGCAUUUAAUAAGCCUACAAGAGUUCCUUUGAUCCAGAGCUAAAACACCUGUGGAAUAAUGCUCCGUCAGCAUCUGGCUUUCUUCAUGCCACAGUCAAGGUAGUUUCAUAACAUGGGGUUUCUGCUGGUUAUCACGACAUAGAUUAUCACAAACCAGAUUAUCUGAUGGUAUCACAGUAUCAUCAGCCUGCUGUCAGGAUUAGACACCUCGGAGGGAUCCCAUUGCACUGCAAGAGGCUGGUGACCCCCCAGCAGACCUCAACUGACAUGUCCACCUUACAGACAUCUCGUUUCAGUGCGCUGCUCAUGAGGGCCACAUCCCACACCUGAAUUUACAUCUACGUGUCAGUGUCUGCUCUGUUGCUUAAGUUUUGAUAUUCUGGAUUUGAGUAUCAGAAGAGCAAUUAAAUACAUGAACUUGAUAAAUAAUUUUAAAGUAUUAAUUUAUUAAAUUAUUGAACUUAUUAACCUAAUUAAUUGAAAUAUCUAGCAUGCCAAUAGCAAUACUUCUGUGCUAUUAGCUGUAGUUCAAUUUGAAAAAUAAUAACCCCUAGUUGACUAAUAUUAAUAUGGUGAAUAAAUAUGCUACCAAGAAAACUGUUUGUGUUUUCAAGGAAGCCAAGCAUCUGCACACAAACAAUUCCUGUCUUGCAGCAGAAUGUUAUUCAGUGUCUGAGAAUACAGGGGAAAACAACCCUCUGUUCCUUCUCCUUCAAGACACACAGGAGCACGUUUACUUUCACCAGAUAUCCAUGUAUGUGUGACACUCUCACAAGCAUUCACUUGCUGGAAGAAUAAAGCUUUUUUAUUCCUUUCAAUAAACACCCUGCACAUGGAUCUCCUCUGUGUGUGCGCUAAAUGAAGGAGGGAGCCCUGAGACCGUCUGUGUGUUCAGUUGUGAGCUCCCAGUGGGAAACCGAGGCAAAGGACACAAUUCUCACACAAACGAGCAAAGGUUUCCACAUUCCACAGUGCCAAGCGACCAUCAAAUCCAGAUGACAUUCCUAGUCCUCAUCCCCACCCUACCUCAGCAUCUGGGAAUCACUGAAGUCUUGCAAAUAACCCAGAGUUACUCUGGUUACUGAUCACAUCUUGCUGAACUAUACAUUUCAUCUACCUGUCCUAAUCCUUUUGCCCUUUUACCCCAUAGUGUGAGACAGGAUAUUAAAAUAAGUUCUUCAUAUUUGUUUGAGCAGAGUGUAACAACGUUUUCCAGGCAAAAUGUGUCACAAUUUUCUCCACGGUGUAUUAUUGUUGUUUCUCUAGAGCUGUGAAAAUUGGCAUACCACAAAUGUCAGUGGUACUUAAAAACCUGCCUUAGUGGGGAAAAGGCCCAUGAAAAUAGUAUGGUUACUUUUGUAACAAAAAAAAAAUUAAACUUCUAUAAAAUAGUUGUUCAAUAAAAUAAAUGAUACCAAAAAGUCAUCAGAGUGUAGGACAAAAGUCUCUUCCUGUAACCUAGGAAGAACGCCUUUUUCCUUAUGUUUUUUAUCAUCUGUGAUUAAUUUAGCCACCUGCGAUUUUGGCCAGUAAACCUGACACUACAUCGCUGUGCAUUAUCUCUUUGCUUCUCCUUGCACAUAUUACGCUGCAGGUAACCAAAAGUGACAUUUGGGAUACAUACAGCAGGAUGUUUGAUAUUUACUUUGGCAGAUCUUAUUUCAAAUACAGAUUGGGUGACAGUAUCAAGAGUCAAAUGCUAUGAGUUCAUUCUCAGGUGUGCCGGCCCACAUCACCAGAAUCAUCAGGCAAGGACCUACGGAGUGCUCACCAGAGGUGUAUGGCAGAACCCAUCACAGCGCCUAUUUUGUACCAUACCUAAAUACACAGCAUUUAAUUUUCAAUAAUUACAAAACACAGAAGCAUGGAGACAAGAUCCAAAUAUCCACAGUUGAAGGGAAAUUUACAGAGCAGAAAAAGCUCAUUUUUAACCUAACAAAGUCACUAAGGCAAAUUCCGCCUAUUGUGCCACGACUUUAGCAUCAUUGCUUAAUUUUAUCAGCGUAGAAUUUAGACUCUUGUAUUUGUAUCAUCUGAAAAUGCGGAACCACAAUGCAGUGGAGUAAGAUGUAUGAAGGAGACAGAAACAUUGAGGACUUUACCACAAACAGAAAGAAACGUUGUCUAUGGCAGUGAAAGCUCCAGUUACUACGAGCAGCAAACCUUUCUUCAUCCGAACACUUUGGGAAUUGACCAAUUACUUUUCAUUUUUCAGCUGCAGCUCAAAACUUCCCAGCACAUUUCUAUCUUGUUCAAAUGAACUAAUAAACUCCUGCUCCACCUCUUGAUCCCGCUUAUCGCCCCGUCCCGCACGGCAGCGUUUGUCGGCUCGCCACAAGAACACCGUUAUCUUUUUGCUACACUCCAAGCAAGCAGGAGAGCUGAAGGUUCCUGUGAAAGCAGCUGGAAAGUUGCCCAAAGGACUUUGGUUUGCUCUGUUUUGUUUUUCUUUCCUACACUUUUUCUCAGCAAAACAUUUUUUAUGUUCCUAAUGCUAAAGAUUAACACAAAAAAUAUUCCAAAAUAAGGUACAACACCUUAAAAUUAUUACUUGUUCUUUCCAAUCUUUUAACACCUGAGUGUUAAACACAUAGAUCAGGACUGGGAGGUGUAGAAUCACAGAAUAGAAAACAAGUCCCUAUCUUGCAAAUAAGUUUAAAACUCCAUGUGUUACCACUGUAACGCUGCAUAAAAUACUGAAGUGGUUUUAAAUGUUCUGCAGGUAGAACAAGGCAAUAUUUUUUUCUGUUGUCUGUGAUAUAAAUAAAAGGUGAGGAUGUCCUUGGAAUAAAUAAUAUCUAAUAUAUAUAUUGUUAAUAUCAUCCAAUAUUAUGCUUCAUGAGAAAUGUUAACUUUUUUGUGCAAAAAGAUACACUUGCUAUGACAAAUGUUGUCAAAUACUUUUCAGCAUGUAGAGUAUAUGACAUGUAGGGUAUACUGCUCUGCUCAUGUUAGUUCCUAUUGAAAUUGGUUAGAACUGUGUAGCUCAACAGUUGAUCUGUUACACGGGAACAGAAUUGUAGACUCUCUUCAGUCCUGUUAUUAACAACGAUAAAGGGAGUUUCCUUGGGGAGCGGGGUGAAAUGAAACCCGUGACACAGCAGUUCACCAUUUCUUGCUAUCUUGUGGGUGACGUCUGAGGAAAAGUCAACAAAACCAGACACAUAAACCAGCAAUAACAAAGGUCAAGCGAGAGCUGCGAGCUGCCCAGUCCCAGCUGGGUUUGCCGCACAGGGGACAGACCCUGGUGUCACCCCAGCCCCGUGCUCUGCCUCCCGGGCCACGUGUCUGUUGCCCACCCUGCCACGACAGACACACGUCUCUCCUGCAGAACACAACGCCAGGGGUGUCCUCUUUACGGGAAAAUCCAGAGCUUUGAGUCACCCAACUGGUGUCAUUUUCCCACUCACACACCCACACGGGGAUGUCAGCGAGAAGCAUGAUAUCAGGGAACUGCAGCUGUGGCUCAGUCUUUACUUUCUGGCAGAAGUGUCUUAAAAAGGAGUUACCUCUGGUCUGGUGGUGUGGUUUGUUUGUUUGUUUUUAUUUCUUAGAACUUUCUGUUUAUGAAGUGGAUUAUCUGCAGAGGAGGAGAUAGGAACAGAGCUGGAACAGAAAGAUACUAAGUCUAAGGCCAGAGCUGUCUUGCCCUGGCCCACUAUUUCAGGCUACUGUGCGGUCCCUCACCUGGCCCAGGGGCUAACAGGGCUGGUUUGCACCUUCCUGGGCCAGCCAGAGGGCACAUUGGACCCAGACCGUGAGUCUGGAACCUCACGAAUUCGCAACAUUCAUCUCCUAAUGCUCAGACUGGAUUUUCAUUUCAGAUUAUGUUCAAAGAAGGGGGGUAUUUCCCUUUUUGGUUUUAGAUAUACCCAUAGUUUUACAAAAUAUUACUGUGAAAUUCUAGUACAAAUUAGAAUAAGAUGACUUUAUAUGAGUUAUCAAGACACUGAAUCUAGACUAUUUGAAUAUGAGUCCAGAUUAUAUCAGAGAGUCUACAUUUAAUUCAAGCUGCAAUCCAAAGGUCCUUCUGGACACGCUCAGUUCUCCUCACUGCCAACUCCAGCCAUGGGAGAAUUUUCUUACGGAUUAGUUCAGAACUCCAAAAAUGACCAGCACAGAUUCCCUGGCUUUAGGUAUGAAUAUCUUAGUGCUUCCUCUGAAACAAAGAGAACCUGCUGCAAUCUAGUUGGGUAUUUAUGCUGUUCUCACCAUUGAGAUCUCCAAAAGCCUCAGACACAGCAGUCAUAGCAAGCCUUUUGGAAGCAAGCCAUAGCAAGGUUUUGCUUUUAAAGGAAAAUACAAAAUGUAACGUGUCAUUGGAAAGGUAAAAAGUAAUUUUAAGUGGCUUUUUCUUAAAAAAGAAACAACCCAGAAGUCAACAAAAAAUCAUUUUGGUUAAGAAUCCCAGUCACUUGGUGGAUGAUUUAUUGGGUAAUAUCACCUGUCAAGUCUAAGUACUGGAUAAGUUAAUCAUCUCCAAAUAUUUCAGCUUCUAUUUUAAUUGCUUAAGUGUUAAAAUAGGUCAUAUUAUCUUGAUGAAAACACAAUUAUGAAAUGUACAAUUUCUUUUAAUGAUCUUUAUUAGCUUACAAUGAUCCCUUGUAUUUCUACACUGUAUGCACACUGGCAAGUCUUCCAGCUGUAACUAUUCUGAUGUCAGCACUGUACUUCGUAACUUACACUUGUUUAUAACACAACCAGAAAGAUCCACUUCAGUCAGAAUCUUGGCACUGGUGGUUUAAAUUGGGGAAUAAAAAUGUUUAUACACAUUUGAGAUUUAAGGAAAGUGAAAACAAACCCAUUUACACACAUUUAAUCAGCCAUCAAUGGCAAAAACUUAACAAAGUCUGAAACAGUUUAGUAUAACUGAAAAAUGUAGUAGUGACUACUUAUUAAUGGAGUUUAUUUUGGUAUGCAUUUCUGCUCCCACAACAGCCACUAAAGGAAAAGGUACCUUGCAGGCUCAGUGUGAAUCCCGGCCUGCAUCUGCACCCUGACUUCUGGCCACGUUCUGCUCCCUGUGCAGAAAACUCAUUACAAUGGGUCUUCUGCUGUAGACUGAUGGACGGUGUCAGACUGUCUGGCAGUUGACUUGCUGGUCUGUUCGCUGCAACUCUUCUCUCUCCCACGUCUUUCUCUGACACAGCAUGAAAUAUAUGGCUUACGAGGGCUUUUCUGCCUUGUACAGGAACACCAUCACCCUGACACAGGAGCAGCAUCACCCUGACACAGGUACAGCGUCACCCUGACACAGGAACAGCGUCACCCUGACACAGGAGCAGCGUCACCCUGACACAGGAACAGUGCCACUGUGACACAGGAACAGCGUAACCUUGUACAGGAAUAGCGUCACCCUGACACAGGAACAGCGUCAUCAUGAUACAGGAACAGCAUCACCCAGGCACAGGAACAGCAUCACCCUGACACAGGUGCAGUGUCACUGUGACACAGGAGCAGCAUCACCCUGACACAGGAACAAUGUCGCCCUGACACAGGAACAGC